rnacentral:rRNA from 1 species
UACGUAGGGGGGCGAGCGUUGUCCGGAGUUACUGGGCGUAAAGGGCAUGCAGGCGGUCGGACGCGUUUUGUGUGACAGCGGGUGGCUCAACUACGCGAGCAUACGAAAGACGGUUUGACUUGAGGGCUCGAGAGGGACACGGAAUUCCGGGUGGAGUGGUGAAAUGCGUAGAGAUCCGGAGGAACACCGAAGGCGAAGGCAGUGUCCUGGCGAGUGACUGACGCUGAGGUGCGAAAGCCAGGGGAGCGAACGGG